GGAUGGAGUGAUGAAUAUUUGUUUUCCUAUUGGUUUGAUUGCCAGAAUGAUGGCAUUUUGUAUUAGCUCUAUCUGACCAUUC
rfam:Cicer arietinum chromosome Ca1, whole genome shotgun sequence.